UUGACGGCAGUUUAUACAUUUCGUCACGAGAAUAAUUUUCUGCCUCUACCACACCCUCGCACACUCUACUCCUACCUAAAAAAUCUGAAGGCCGGCUUUGGAUUUGAUGAAAAUUUAUUUGCCAUCCUCAAAGACAAAGUGAGAAAUAUUCCAGAGAGAGAGCACCGAGGUAUCAAUUUUUAUUUUUUUGCAUUUGAUUUUUCUGGACUUUAGGUAAACAGCUGAAAUAUUUUUUUUCUUUAGGGGUCCUGAUGUUUGACGAGAUGGGCGUGAGAAGGAGCCUUCAUGUAAAGAAAUCGGAUAUGACACUGCUUGGAAAGGUCGACUUAGCGGAGCGCACGAAGCCUACUGACCAAGUGAAAGAUGGUGACCAUGUGCUAGUGUUCCCUUUCCGACCAUUCCUCGGUGGCUGGUCGCAGACUGUCAGAGCGUUUUGCACGUCAGGGGCUGCACCAGGCUCUGCUAUUGCUAAACUGCUUCUGCAUUGCUUGUACUCCUGUCGAAUUCCGGUGUCGUUGUGGAUGCAGUCACUUGCGAUAACUCUACUUCGAACCGAUCAGCAUUGAACUCUUUGGGUGUCAGCGGUGAUUUCGCCAGAGUAUCAACGUCAUUUGAGCAUCCAUGUGACUCCUCCGAAGUCAUUCAGGUCAUAAUUGACCCACCUCACAUCUUCAAGUGCAUCAGGAAUAACCUUCUGAAGGCUGGAAAAUUCCUGUUGCCUGGUGACAAAGAAGUACAGCAUUUCCACUUUGAAGCUCUGCUAGACUACGAGGAGCAGCAAGCUGGACUUCGGGCUGUGCAAUAGCU